GCAGGGGUAGCCAAGCCUGGUCAACGGCGCAAGGUUCAGAGCCUUGUCCUGCAGAGGUUCAAGGGUUCAAAUCCCUUCCCCUGCA
rnacentral:tRNA from 1 species